AUGGCAGGUGGAGAAGGCUGGGUCCUGAGCUUGGGGCGGAGGGCCCGCAAGUGUGUUCCCGCGGAGCAGAUUCAACGUGAGCGGCACCAGCAUCCCCGUUCAGAGGCCGGGCUGUCCCCAGGGAGAGGAGGGGCCCCCAGUGGGUCCCACAGGAAGCCGGUCCCGUCACUGUCCCGCGGAUGUGCAUUCCAGAGGCCCCUUGGAGUCCGGCCUUGGAGCUUCCAGGCCCGCGGCCCGCUACGUGACGGCCCGCGUGUGCACACGCCCGGCUGCGUGUGGGUGUUGGGUGUGCGCCGGCCCGGAGUGCAGGGGCAGCAGCGUGUGGACUCGUCAUUGGAACAGAGCAGCAGGCAGGGCCGGGGCUCCCGGUGCGGCGAUGAGGGUGCCGUCCCCUGUGCCGCGCAGAGCCACUGCCGUCUGCGGCGCCCCCUCCCUCAGAGUCCCGGCGGCCCGGGCUCGGGGGGCCCCGGCGUGGGAGACGGGCUCCGGUCCCCAGGAAAGCCUGUCACCCAGCCACCCGACUUUCAGCGGCUGGGAUUGUUUUCAGACUCGGGCUUUAGGGCUCCGACAGGUUACGGCAAAUUAAUCCAGCGGGACAAAUCUGCCUGCCUUUUCUCUCCUGAGGACGAUGAGGAUUCUGUCUCUGGGGAAAUAAAAACCAACACUGGGAGAACUGUAGAAUGUGCUGGACUUCACCUGGAAUGUUUCUUCUUCUUCUUCUUCUUCUUUUUUUUUUUUAAGAUUUUAUUUAUUUAUUCACGAGAGACCCAGAGAGAGAGGCAGAGACGCAGGCAGAGGGAGAAGCAGGCUCCCUGUGCGGACCCCGAUGCAGGACUUGAUCCCCGGACCCCGGGGUCACGCCCUGAGCCGGAGGCAGACGCGUCACUGUUGGAGCCCCUGCCCCCUCCCCCCGCCCCCAUUUGACUUCUGAACAGUUAAUGAGGUGAGUCAUCUGAGUGGUGGAUUUGGGGAUUUGACCACACCCAAACUUCUCAUUCUCCCAGAAAUGCCUGUGCCCCAGCGGCCUCUACCUCCCUGAGCCUUUCCUGUGCAAACAGAUCAGCCCCAGGCCCCGGAGGCUGGGGAGGUCACACCCUCCUGGCUACUCCUGGGGGGUCAGUGGAAGUGAAUGCCCCUUGAUGUCAUCCUUCCCCUCCCUCCCCCCCAGGCCAGCCGCCUAGGCCUGCCCACACCUGCAGCCUCAGCAGACAUCCCCGUGUGGUGGCUGGACUGUGGUCUCUGCCGCCGCAUGCCCGCCAGCACCCCCAGGGCCUCUGAGCCCGCCCAGCACUGCCCGCCAGCUGGGAGCUUCUCCACAGAUGCACUAUAGCCUGCCUAGGCCUUACUGCCCUUAGCUUGCCGGUCGUGGGGUCCCCCCAAACCUACCAUCUCCACAGUGGUGACAGGAUCUGCCCAAUGUCUGUGACUCCUGCUUAGACCAGGCAUUGGAGGAACCGGGUAGGCAGUGUGUGUGCACGCAUGUGUGCAUGCGUGCAUGUGCAGUGUGCACGUGUGCAUGUAUGUGCUGUGUGCAGACACAUGAAUGUGCACGUGUGUGUUUCUCAUUAAUCCCCAAAUAUACAUUAUUGUAUUUGACCCGAUUUUGAUCAUUUUUUGCAGCACUAUUUUGUUGAGACCCAAUUGUUUGGGGCUGUCAGUUAUAAUUUGCACAUCCGUGACAUUUCCUGAGCUGGUGUUCCCUGGCUGGUCAGUUUGGGAAACAUUGGCAUAGACCAAACUUUGAGGAGCUCAAAAUAUGAUUUUGACAAUCUCCCUGUCAUCCCUGACGCCCACACUUCCCCUAAACCUGAGAACAUUUGAUCUGGAGGAUUCUGAAUGUCUUUUUGGGGGAUUCUCUCCACAUCCAGUGGGGGGGGGCAGAAACCAGGCCGGAAGACCCUGGAGCUGUGUGAGCAGGACAGGAGGGAAACACAGGGCGGCCUGUGUGGGGUGAACCUGCGUACGUUCUGGUCCUGCUUCUGCAUGUUGGGGUCAGAUGCACGGGGCGGGCCCCACGUACACUUUGUAAACCUCGGGCCUUUCCCCGACUCACGGGGAGUGAGCCUGAGUGCUGUCAGAGUCGUGCGGCAGUCUGAUUUGAAUAGUGUUGUAGAGAUGUGUCACUUACACGGUUAGAUUCAUGUCACGGGCAAUUGUUAUUGAACAGACCGCAGUAACCUGACCUUCAGUUGGAAAAGCCGCAUCCAUGCCCAUCCCCUCUCUUUCUGUAAAUGGGCACUUUCCUACCCCAAAGAGCAUGUGAGGAUCACGCAGGCUGACGUGUGCAAAGCUUUGGCACAGCAGAGCCAAGAAGGGUUCAUAGGCUGAAUUGCGUCCCCUCCAAAUUCGUAUGCUGGUGUCCUGACCCCCAGACUCUCAGAAUGUGGCUCUAUCGUCUUUACAGAGGUGAUUAAGCUAAAACGAGGUCACUGGGGAGGGCCUCAAUCCGAUCUGGCUGGCGUGUCCUUACAAGAAGAGAUCGGGACACAGAUGUGCACAGAGGGAGACCAUGUGAAGACACAGGGGAAAGACGGCGUCCACACACCCAGGAGAGGGGCCUCAGGAGGAGCCAGCCCUGCCCACGCCUGGACCUCGGACCUCCAGCCUCCAGCCUCUGGCCCCGAGAGGGAAUAUGUUUCUCUUGUUUAAGACGCCCGGCCUGUGGUGCUUUGUUGUGGCUUUGUUGCGGCAGCCCCAGGACAUUGGUACAGCAGGUGCUCAGCAAGUAUGAGUUGCUACCAGUAGGCUUUCUCCAGCGUUGAAUUAUGGCACUCUAUUUCUUGAGGACACCUGAGACACAUUUCUACGUGCUUGGAACUUCACCUAUGCAUAUUUAAAAAUGUAUUUUAGGAAGAGAAAUGUUAGCACAUUUUGCUGCUAGUGAGAAAUCCAGCGGCAUCUGUUUUAAAAAUACUUGUGUGGUUCCGUUCCUUGGAGCUGGACAUCACUGGUCCUGGCCGUCACUCCAGGGUGGGGGGGGUGGGCUCAGCAGACCCCUGGUGAGUUCCAGGGGUCAGAGUUUCAGUGUCCGGUAACGCCACAGGGUCCUGUGUGUGACUGGUUAGCCUGUUUGGUGUCAGAAUUAACCCAGUGCCUUUGUCAGCGGAUUUUACUUGCUGUGUCUAAGAGUCACUUACCAAGCCCCGCCCUCUAUGCCCAGGCCUGCUCCCGCUGCAGAGCAUGGGUGACACAGGUUUGGGGGCCUUAACAGCAAGGGCGGACAAGGGGCCUUGUUCUCUCCUGCCAGUACAUGUGGCCCAGCGGCUGCUGCCUUUGUCUGUGAGCCUGUGAUGUCCACGUGGCCUGGUCACUUAGGUCCCCUGGCCCAGGGACCCCUAGAGAAACCGUAUGCCUUUUCCAUCAGCUGUUGAGUGGAAAAAGGGGGGUUCCCUGCUCCCGGGAGCAGUGAAGGGGAGGCUCUGGCCAUGCAGGUCCAUGAGGAGAGUCUGCAAUAGGCAUCUGAGUACUUGUGAGUCCUCCUACCCUCACCCUCUGAGUGGGGCCCCGUCCCCUCUGCGGAGCCCGCCCCCUCCACGGAGCCCUGCCCUCUGUGCCCAGCCCUGCUCCCCUGCAGAGCCUCAUCCCCUCUACGAGGCCCCGCCCCUUUGCCAAGCCCCGCCCUCUGUACAGAGCCCUGCCCCCUGCACACAGUGCCAAGCCCCGCCCCC
rnacentral:lncRNA from 1 species